AUUGAACGCUGGCGGCAGGCCUAACACAUGCAAGUCGAACGAGUGGCGGACGGGUGAGUAAUGUCUGGGAAACUGCCUGAUGGAGGGGGAUAACUACUGGAAACGGUAGCUAAUACCGCAUACCAUCAGAUGUGCCCAGAUGGGAUUAGCUUGUUGGUGGGGUAACGGCUCACCAAGGCGACGAUCCCUAGCUGGUCUGAGAGGAUGACCAGCCACACUGGAACUGAGACACGGUCCAGACUCCUACGGGAGGCAGCAGUGGGGAAUAUUGCACAAUGGGCGCAAGCCUGAUCCAGCCAUGCCGCGUGUCUGAAGAAGGCCUUCGGGUUGUAAAGGACUUUUGUCAGGGAAGCGGUACCUGAAGAAUAAGCACCGGCUAUCUACGUGCCAGCAGCCGCGGUAAUAC
rnacentral:rRNA from 1 species